rnacentral:lncRNA from 1 species
GGCAAAUUUCUCUCCAGAGGACCCUGCAUGGGGCUGACCCAGCACCAGACAUCCUCCUAGCAGCAGGACGUUAGCUAAAGAGACCCCAAGAAUGAUCAGCCGUGGAGUCCUCAGAGCCGUCAGUCCGGGCCCUAGGCACGGGGCAUGGGAGGCAGCGACCAGAAAAAGGAGGCCCAGAGAGGUUACUGGCCUGCCAAGGUCACUGUCUAUGCGGUGCUGGCUCUGAAAAGAGGCCAGCGUUCGUCUGGAGGAAGGGCUGUUUCCUCUUGUCACUGGUGCUGGUCCCUCAGCUUCCCCAUGGCUCCUGUCUCACAACCACUGAAACAGCACAGAACUGUCGGUCCUGGGAGGAGGUCUACCUUCACCUGUGCACCGUCUUCUGACACGUGGCAGACUCUGGCUGCAGUCUCCUGGGCACUGCUCUUCUUCCAUCAUCCUGUGGCUUGGAUGCAGCUCCGGGCUGGCCCCAUUGGCCCCCAGGUCAUCCCACUAUGCUAGGUUCCACCACGGAUGCAGGGGGUGAGGCCACGGAUAGCAGCAGGGGACAACACGUUUGUAUUAUGUGGCCUUCCUCGUCCACAGAGUCAGGGAGAGGAGGACCAAGGAGGGCACUGAAUUUCUUGUGAUCACCUUUCCUCCACACAAGAAACCAUGUAAGCCGGGCCCCUUGUACCUGCCAAGGCCUGGAUCAAGGACUUAAUCUUUGACCAGAAAAGCAUCAGAUAAAGGUUCAGUUGGUUUCCAGGGGGCUUGGGAAGCCAGGAGACAGGCAGGUGGGCAGCACACCAUGACUGGUGCGUGGGCAGGGGACCUGCCCCAACUUAUUUCCCAAGUGUCCACUCAAGGGCGUAUCUGUUGCAUCUGCCUUGGACCUCUUGGCGAGUUCUUCCGUGAGUGCCCCACAGUCACCCUCUUGCUCCUUC